GGUCUAUCUAGGCAUUUUCAAAAGCAAAUAUUUUAGUACUCAAACAAAAGUAACAGUUUAGUUAGCAAAUGUCCUUGUAUCUCAGUAUUUAUUGACUAGAUGUCUCUAUACUUUGAAGUAGUCAUGUCUUUGUCCUCACUAUCUACCCUCUCUGUCCCUAUUAUCUUCUUCAUAAUCUUCUAAACAAUCAAUUUUGGUCAUAAACCUAAUACAUUUUACUGUUAAUAUUAUUUAAGUUUAAGAGAGGUCUAAUGUGACAUCAAAAAGCCAGGACUCAAUACAAGUAUCUCCGGCAUUCUAAUAAGUGAAUUUAGAAAAAAAAAAACACACCUCGCCCCACUGCAUUGCAUAAUAGGAGAGCACAGGACAAGAUACAGAAGAUUAAGUGUUGCCCCAGCAGAGGGUUAUUUCAGACCCAUUAAGUCCAGAUCAUACAAAAAAAAAGAAAAAUACAAGGGAUAAGAAUAAGAAUAACUUUAUUGAUCCCUGAAAGAAAAUCCAAUUGUCUGUCGUCUCACUGGUCAUGUUUCAAAAGUCAUCGACUAUUUAUAAAAGAGUUGUAAAGUCUGAUGGCUGUGGGUACAAAAGAUCUUCUCAAUCUUUCUGUCCUGCAGUAGAGAGAGAGGAGCUGCCACCACCAUUGGCCCUUUGGUCCAUUAAGGUGUUGUGAAGUGGUUGAUCCAUGUUCUUUAAAAUAGCCUCCACCUCCCUCAGUCUACAUUUCUCCACCACAUCCUCCAACACAGCCAGCCUUUUUCACCAGUAUGUUCAGACGUUUUGCAUCUUUGUGUUUGAUGCUUUCUCCCCUGCAGACUGCAGCGCAGAACACAACACUUGCCACCACAGACUGAUAAAACAUCUGCAGCAUCUUACUACAGAUGUCUGUUGAGCAGCUCCUUCAGCAGCAGAUUUAGACUUCCACCUUGCAGGACGGAGCACUACUGCAGGCCAUUCCUCCCCUCUGCAAUACGACUUUACAACCAACUGUAAUAAUAACUGGAUUUAUACCACCACUUUUUUCUGGCAUUUAAAUUGUGUAUAUUGUAGAUAGUUUUAUUUUUCUUCUCCCUUUUUCCUUUUUCUAUUUUUUUUCUUAAUUAUUACAUUUAUUGAAGUUCUUAAUAUUAGGAUCUUUAUUUUUAUAACUGCAAUUUUGCACUCUUUGUCUGUGAUGCUGCUGUGACAAGAAAAUUUCCCCCAUUGGGGAAUAUUCUAUUCUAUUCUUCUAAUCGGAGUCUUCUCAGGCAAAAGAGGCGGCUCUGCCACUUUCUGUGGGUGAAGUCUAUGUUCUUAGACCAGUCCACUCUACAUGCUUGUUUUUUUCUGCAGUUGUAGACACACUUGUUCUAUCUCUAACUAUGUGUUCAUUUUAGCAGAGAUGCUUGCAGAAUUUAAAUACUGAGACUGAGAGAGUUUAUUACAUCCAGGGCAGCUCUAGGGUCUUUCUCCAGUGCAAACUCUCAUGUGUUUUAUCAACACAGGUUCUCUUUGGAAAGUUGUGCCACACUCUGAGCAGCUGUAGGGUCUCUCCCCUGAAUGAACUCUCAUGUGUUGUCCGAGUUCUCCUUCUCUUUUGAAUGUUUUGCCACAUUCUGAGCAGCUGAAGGGUUUCUCAUCUGAAUGAACUCUCAUGUGUUGUCCCAGUUCUCCUUUAGUUUUGAAUGUUUUGCCACAGUCUGGGCAGCUAAAGGGUCUCUCCUCUGAGUGAACCCUCAUAUGGCUUGCCACGUCAAAUUUAGUUUUGAAUGUUUUGCCACAGUCUGAGCAGCCGAAGGGUCUCUCAUCUGAGUGAACUCUCAUGUGUCUUGUCAGUUCUCUUUCAGUUGUGAAUGUUUUGCCACAUUCUAAGCAGCUGAAGGGUCUCUCCUCUGAAUGAACUCUCAUGUGUUGUCCCAGUUCUCCCUUAGUUUUGAAUGUUUUGCCACAUUCGGAGCAGCUGAAGGGUCUCUCCUCUGAGUGAACCCUCAUGUGGCUUGCCAGGUCGUAUUUAGUUUUGAAUGUUUUGCCACAGUCUGAGCAGCUGAAGGGUUUCUCAUCUGAAUGAACUCUCAUGUGUUGUCCCAGUUCUCCUUUAGUUUUGAAUGUUUUGCCACAGUCUGAGCAGCUAAAGGGUCUCUCCUCUGAGUGAACCCUCAUGUGGCUUGCCAGGUCGUAUUUAGUUUUGAAUGUUUUGCCACAGUCUGAGCAGCUGAAGGGUUUCUCAUCUAAGUGAACUGUCAUGUGUUGUCCCAGUUCUCCUUUAGUUUUGAAUGUUUUACCACAUUCUGAGCAGCUGAAGGGUCUCUCCUCUGAGUGAACUUUCAUGUGGAUUGCCAGUUCUUGUUUAGUUUUGAAUGUUUUGCCACAUUCUGAGCAGCUGAAGGGUCUCUCAUUGUAGUGAACUCUCAUGUGUUUUGCCAGUUCUCGUUUAGUUUUGAAUGUUUUGCCACAGUCUGGGCAGCUGAAGGGUCUCUCCUCUGAAUGAACUCUCACGUGUUGUCCCAGUUCUCGUUUAGUUUUGAAUGUUUUGCCACAUUCUGAGCAGCUGAGGGGUCUCUCCUCUGAGUGAACCCUCAUGUGGAUUGCCAGUUCUCGUUUAGUUUUGAAUGUUUUGCCACAUUCUGAGCAGCUGAAGGGUCUCUCAUCUGAGUGAACUGCCAUGUGUUGUUCCAGAUGAGUUUUAGUUUUGAAUGUUUUGCCACAUUCUGAGCAGCUGAAGGGUCUCUCAUCGGAGUGAACUCUCAUGUGGAUUGCUAGUUCUUGUCUUCUUUUGAAUAUUCGACAACACGUGAUUUCUCUAGCCUCUUUAGCAUCUUCUUUCUCACUUUUUUCACAGACAUUAGACUUGACUUUUGUGGUUUUGUAUCCUCCCAAUUCUCAUCACUGCCCUCGGUCUCAGGUUCAGGGGAGUCUUGAGUCUUUCGUUGUAUAUUUAUCCCUGAGUAGUUACUGGCUGGAUCUUGUCCUCCAUAAUUCUGUUCCUUGCAAAUGUUCGGGGGCUCAGUGUAUCCCUGGUCCAGAGUGGGACUCCUCCCCUGCUGCUCAGAGAGAAACUCUUCUUUUUUCACCAACACCUUCUGGAUAUCUGCAAGGCACAGAAAAACAAUAACUAAACAGAAGUUGAUGAAAACAUCAGUAGAUAUGAAAGCAGAUUUAAAAACUCAAUGAUAGUCUCAAGAAAGAUAAGAGUUAGUGUGGGGAUUAUGGACUAAUAUUUCCCCCUCUAGUGUUGGACUUAAUUAGCUCACCAGCUAUGUAUGUGCUGUCUCGGAGCAGCAGACUAUUUUUCAACAUUCCUGACAAGAACUGAACAAUGUCAGCAGCAUGGAUUUAGUUGAAGAGGCACCACUAAAUCUGUUGUUAUUCUCAAAUCAGUUUCAGCAUUUGUUAUGAUGCUCAUUGUUGUGCUCCUGAAACUUCUCGGGCAAAACUGAAUGGAUGCAGCCUGGUGCAAAAAGCUGCUGCACAAUAGUUCCAGGCAACCAAUCACAGUGUUGAUAAAACACUUAACCCAGGUAACCAAGAGCAGCAUUGUGAGAGUUCACACUAAGAGCUCAGAAUUCAGCUCACAUUUAGUUCACAUGGAUCCAAAUCAACUAGGUUGUAGUGAUAGUUUGUGUGUCUGUCAGCAGAGCCUUCCAAGCUUCAAUUCCUAAUCCCCUCACUGAUAUUUAUUGAACUAAAUUAUCAUUAAAGUGUACAUCAUAAUUGGAGACAGACAUAUACUUUGGAAAAACAAGGAAAUUUCAGUGUUUUAAACAGUUUUUUUUCUUCCCGCCCCAAUACCCUGUUACAGUGGGUGAGAUGUUUAUCAAGCCCUCUAAAAAAAAGGGGCUUAAGGGUAUAGAAACACUGACGAGACAAACAUGAAAGUUAACUAUUCUAUCUGAAAAGGUUUACCCCUCUGAAUCAGACAGGAUUUUAGCCUGCUGGGCAGCACAAAAAUGAGAAAUGCUGACUGACAAUACAGAUUUACAUUUUCAAGUAGGCCACAGAGAUAAAUCUGGAACAUGUGCUUUUCAGAAUCAUCAUCAAACCAAUGUGUGACUCUUAAACUACAAGUACUUGACACAGUCCAGCCGUUAAUAGUAUAAAACAGUAUAGGAUAGCUGUUGUAUUUGUUGUUGCGGUUGUGUAGUACUUCAUAAAUUCGUAAUAAAACUUUUCCUUAAAAACAAAUACUUUUUUUGCCCUAAAGUCAUUUCAGGUUUAAUCAUAUUAUUUUGCCAUUUCAUUAAUAUGGUUUGUUGCAGCCUGUGUGUGGGGCUUGCUUCAGUUAAGGCAUUGAAACAUGUAUCCAGAAGUGUAAGGAAAACUGACCUGCUCUGUGCAGCUUGAUUUCGGGUGUUAAAAUCACAGCCAGCAGUUUUUUCUGGCGGCGGAGCUCCUCUUCGUAUCCAGACUCUGUUCUAUUUUCGACCAGGUCCGUCAUUACCGCAGCCAGCAGCCGCCGAUUAAAUAAAUCAUCAAGAUCCUGAAACCCGGACAUUUUCCACAAACGCAAGAGCGGAAGAAGCGAAAACAGAACUUUGUGGUUACCGCGGUACCACGUGGACGACUUCUUCCUCUUGUUUUUCUUUAUGAGCGUUUGGAAACAGAGCUGAAUCGGUGUUGGAGCGGAAAUUUAAACCUCGGUUUCGGAUCACCAGGUUUGAAAAAGUCGCGGUGGAUUUGGCUCCGAUCUUUUGUUUGCAGAAUCUGGAUUUGGUCGAUUAUGGAGGUCGAGCAGUAAUGUGUACUUCUUUAUCUUCCUCUUCUUAGUUAACGGCGGAUGGCAACUAGUAGUACUGAUUACGGUCGACGACCUAUAAAGAACUGGCAUAGGGGGAGUAGUGGGACUUCAUACGACGUCAUCUCCGCUUCCGGUUUUACCGAUAGCAGGGUCUCACCAAAGGUGCAUUUAUACGUUCUAGAGCCAAAUGGCUAGAGGAGGGAGAAAUGAAUACAGACUUUUUUUCGCCCUGGAAAAAAGGAAUUAUAGAAGAAAUAAUAUAACAUCUUUGAAAAUAGAUAACUCAACUAGCUCUGAUCCUUCUGAUAUUGCCAAUUAUACUCUAAAAUUUUAUUCUGAUCUGUACAGUUCUGUUCAUAAUCAAACUGAAUGUGAAAAAUUUAUAAACAAUGUUAAAGAAUUUACGCCACAAAUAUCCAACGAAUUUAAGCUGGACUGUGAUAAACUCAAGUCUGAAAUAUCUGAAGCUAUUAAGAAGAUGAAAAAAGGAAAGUCUCCAGGAAUGGAUGGGCUUCCUGACGAGUUUUACCUAUGUUUCUAGAGCAUAAUUGAAAACCCCUCUUUGAAAUGAUAAAGGAAUGUGUUGAUAAAGAAGAGAUGACUGCAACUAUGAAACAAGGAAUAAUAACAUUGAUCCCCAAACCAGACAAAGAUCACCUAUCUUUAGAUAAUUGGAGACCGAUAACACUAUUAAAUGUAGACUUGAAAAUACUCUCAUUAGUUCUGGCCAAACAACUGAAAAAGGAUUAAGUGAAAUCAUCAAUGAAACCCAAACCGGCUUUAUGGCUAAUCGGCACAUAAGUUGUAAUAUUAGACUUGUUCUUGAUUUAAUGGAUUACUCUGAUUACGUUGAAUCAGACGCUUUGAUUUUAUUCUUGGACUUUUAUCAGGCAUUCCACACCGUAGAGCAUCAAUUCUUAUUUCGAUCACUUCAAAUUUUUGGUUUUGGAGAAAAAUUUAUUUCCGCUGUCAGAAUGCUUUAUAAAGACAUCAGUAGUAGUGUCCUGCUUUUCCCAAAUAUCACUAAAAGAUUCUCUGUCCACAGAUCGGUCCGACAAGGCUGUCGGCUGUCACGUGGCGUAAAACUAGGAAAAGGUGGGGAAAAAUGAGUGGAGUAGAAGAGGACAAGUAAAAAGAAAGGCGUAAGGGAGUAAGAUAAAACCAAGAGCAUCAGAUUAAGCACAAGACCAUGAUCACUCCAACUUUAUUGGUUUCAUGUGCUUCAAACUGGGAGUGUCUCUGGGGUGUGUGCAGAGAGAGGAGGGGUCGCGUUUGUCCUGCAAGAUCUUCAAGAUACAUGGUUAUUUGAUCCAACUUACACUUUUUACUGGUAAAGGAGUAAGAUCUAAUAGUCACCCACUGUGAUUAAUGUUAUUGAAUGCUGAUGAUUGAAUGUCGAAUCACAUGAAGCAUUGUCAUUAUGCUGUAUCACUUUCAAAAGAGUGCUGAUAAAAUAACUGAUGUCCUUUGACAUCCUUGCCUAAGGCUGCUGUUUUAAUUACUGUUGUUUUAGCCCAUGAAAACUUUUGCCUCUCCUCUGCUUUCUUCUUUCUGUACUCCAGAAAGGUCUGAAGAGUAGGGGUUUGAAUAGUCUGUGAUGCUGCAGGAAAACAAAGAAAUAAAUAUGUUAAAUUUUGGGUCUCUUAUUUCUGUAUAACAGACUACUGCUAAGGAGGCCGCUAUGAUCAGAGGAGGAGAACCGCACCGAACCGGGAUAUUUUACUAAUGGGUUACUUUUAUAUGGAGCUUUAACCUUAAUAGAACAGCUUUAAUAAUAACAAAUAAUGAACUUUGACAACCAUGAUGAAUUACAAAAAUGUGCCCACUGAUGUUUCUUUAGUUACUGUGUUUAAAAGCUUUGAAAACACCAAGUUAGUCUAAACUGUGGCAAAAAAGAGAUUCCCUAUAUUCCACCUUCGUGAAGUUGGCCACCCACCCUCAAUAAAAACGUUUCGAAAGAUUGUGUUUUCUCUUUUGCGGUUGUAUUUUUGCACUUCCAGGCCACUGUAAUGUUGCACCAUCACGCCGUAAAAAAUUCCUAGUCUGUGAAUCCUGUUCAUUGACAAUGGCAAUAAAACCCCUUCUAAUUUUGAUUUUAUAUGAUAGGUAAGAGCUCAGUCAUAAUCAUCAGUAUAUGCCUUGUACAGCAUACAUUUAACACCAGUCUUUUUUUUGUAGGCACUGGUCUACACACCUCCAUUUUAUUAGUGGCCUCUGGUGCAAUCCCUUGUAAUAAAAACAAGAUGAAUAAUGUUUUGAUACGACAAUACAAAUUUUGAACUUGUUGAACAUCGAACAAACAUUAAUAUCUGCCCUGUGUCCUUGGCUGGUGCCAGGUUUGCAGAAAGCUGGUGCAUGCCAGGGGCGAUGGCACCGACUUCACUCCUAAAGUGCUAUAUAGGUAAAUCCCCCAAAAUUAGAAUAUUGUGGAAUUGUGAUAAUUUAUCUCCAUAAUGUAUAAUUUUUUAAUCUGCAUUUACAUAUACUAGCUACACUACAAAAGUUUGGAAGCAAGGCCAUUGUUCACAAUGAUUUUUUUAAAAUCCAGCAUGAGUUUUAUGUAUUUACUCCAUGUUUAGGUGUUGUUUUCAUGGAAAUGCACCAUUUUACUCCAUUUACCUUUAGAUAUACAUUGAUGUUAACAGACCAUUGCUAAAUAUAUGUCAGCAAAAGAUAAUAAGGGCUUUGUUUUAGGGUUGAAAACAUUUGCAAGAGUCACAACUUCAGUGGAAAAGCAAUCAAAAAGCAAAUCACAGUUGGAUUAUUCACUUGGUAUUCUAUGGUAUGGAGAUUUGUAGGUAAUGGAGUAGGAGAUUUGUUUGAAGUAAAGGGUAUCAUGAAGAAGGAACAGUACCACUCCAUCCUCCAGCACCAUGCUGUUCCAUCUGGACUCAGACUUGUGGCUCAUAAGUUUGUUUUGCAGAAAGACAAUGACCCUAAGCACUCUGCCAAGCUCUGUCAGGGUUACCUAGACAAAAAAGAAGAGGAAGGUGUUAACUCACAAAUAAUAGAUAGACUGAGAAAUACAAUGAAGUACAUCUUGCAAAUUUGCUGGAACUGGUAACACCACAGUCUCUCAUGCAACUGCAGGAAAACAGUCUGCAACAGCAGCGGGAUAACAACUUUUCAUUUUGAGAAACCUGAGGUGAGUGAGCUUCCUCAUUUUUAUUUUUUUUAAUAGGAUAUAGAAAUGUCUCAGUCUCCAAAAAAAUUCUUUGCCUGUUUGUUCUUUCUGUCUUAAAUGAAGGCAGGAAUCAUUCUGGGAGAUUUUAGACACAUCUGUGAUGUGAUGCACACAGACAGACAGAAGUCGACUGACAUCAGCGUGAAUUCCCUCUAUUGAAUUCAGUUAUCGAGUUGAUAUCCUGCCUCGUAGUACAGCUGAUCGGGAUUACGGAGAUCUGGUGAAGUUAAGUGAGUUUUGGCAGUUAUCCUGGGUGUGUUAAUCCAGCUGCAUAGUACAGGCCUCAGGUUUCACAAAGCUACAGUUUAUUUGGCUCUGAUCAUUUGAUGCUGGAUUUGGUUGAUUAUGGGAGGUCGGUAAAGGUCCGGUGUGGGGGGAAUAUACCUUGAUGUCACUCAGCUUCCGAUUCACUUCCCGGUUAGCAGUAGGGGAACUUUUUAUUUGUAUCAAAAACUGUCAACUUCAUGACCAAGUACAACCCCAACAUUUCAGACAAAGGAACAUUGAACAAAUAACAUGGGAGAUAAUAAAAUAAUACUAUAGUAAAAAAAAAAAAAGAACAAACACAUACAUAAUUUCUUUAGAGAAAUAUAAAUUGGGGUCUUGUAGCAGAGAUGCCCGCUUUCUCACCCUAAGUACCCCCAAAAGAAUGUAAUGCUUGACCUGGUCACUGGAGAUGAGAUGGGGUGACCCCACCAAACCAGAUCAUGUUCUCAUUGCUCUCCACUUUUGCUUUAAAGUCAGCUUAAAUUAUGUUUUUAAGUUUUAAAACAUGCGCACAUGAAUGAUGAGAAAACAACAUUGUUUUGAGAUUUUCUCAAAAAGUCAAAUAAGUAGGUCUAUCUAGGCAUUUUCAAAAGCAAAUAUUUUAGUACUCAAACAAAAGUAACAGUUUAGUUAGCAAAUGUCCUUGUAUCUCAGUAUUUAUUGACUAGAGGUCUCUAUAUUUUGAAGUAGUCAUGUCUUUGUCCUCACUAUCUACCCUCUCUGUCCCUAUUAUCUUCUUCAUAAUCUUCUAAACAAUCAAUUUUGGUCAUAAACCUAAUACAUUUUACUGUUAAUAUUAUUGAAGUUUAAGAGAGGUCUAAUGUGACAACAAAAGACCAGGACUCAAUACAAGUAUCUUCGGCAUUCUAAUAAGUGAAUUUAGAAAAAAAAAAAAACCUCGCCCCACUGCAUUGCAUAAUAGGAGAGCACAGGACAAGAUACAGAAGAUUAAGUGUUGCCCCAGCACAGGGUUAUUUCAGACCCAUUAAGUCCAGAUCAUACAAAAAAAAAGAAAAAUACAAGGGAUAAGAAUAAGAAUAACUUUAUUGAUCCCUGAAGGGAAAUCCAAUUGUCUGUCGUCUCACUGGUCAUGUCUCAAAAGUCAUCUACUAUUUAUAAAAGAGUUGUAAAGUCUGAUGGCUGUGGGUACAAAAGAUCUUCUCAAUCUUUCUGUCCUGCAGUAAAGAGAGAGGAGCUGUCCACCACCAUUGGCCCUUUGGUCCAUUAAGGUGUUGUGAAGUGGUUGAUCCAUGUUCUUUAAAAUAGCCUCCACCUCCCUCAGUCUACAUUUCUCCACCACAUCCUCCAACACAGCCAGCCUUUUUCACCAGUAUGUUCAGACGUUUUGCAUCUUUGUGUUUGAUGCUUUCUCCCCUGCAGACUGCAGCGCAGAACACAACACUUGCCACCACAGACUGAUAAAACAUCUGCAGCAUCUUACUACAGAUGUCUGUUGAGCAGCUCCUUCAGCAGCAGAUUUAGACUUCCACCUUGCAGGACGGAGCACUACUGCAGGCCAUUCCUCCCCUCUGCAAUACGACUUUACAACCAACUGUAAUAAUAACUGGAUUUAUACCACCACUUUUUUCUGGCAUUUAAAUUGUGUAUAUUGUAGAUAGUUUUAUUUUUCU